UAGAACCUACCUUUUACAGAGGAUAGCCUUUAGAAAUGAAGAUUAAUGCCUCAUAGUAUUGUAGACUGGCAUCAGUUUAUAAUUAAAGAUUUAUCGGUAAAAGAUGGCUAUGCGUCCUAUUAGUUAGUUGGUAAGGUAACGGCUUACCAAGACAGCGAUAGGUAGGGGUCCUGAGAGGGAGAUCCCCCACACUGGUACUGAGACACGGACCAGACUCCUACGGGAGGCAGCAGUGAGGAAUAUUGGACAAUGGAGGAGACUCUGAUCCAGCCAUGCCGCGUGUAGGAAGAAUGCCCUAUGGGUUGUAAACUACUUUUAUACAGGAAGAAACACUGGUAUGUAUACCAGCUUGACGGUACUGUAAGAAUAAGGACCGG
rnacentral:rRNA from 1 species